rnacentral:rRNA from 11 species
GCGACCCCAGGUCAGGCGGGACUACCCGCUGAGUUU